rnacentral:rRNA from 1 species
UACGAAGGGUGCAAGCGUUGUUCGGAAUCACUGGGCGUAAAGGGCGCGUAGGCGGGCCUGUAAGUCGACUGUGAAAUCCCUGGGCUUAACCCGGGACGUGCAUUCGAUACUGCAGAUCUUGAAUGCUUGAGAGGGAGGCGGAAUUCCAGGUGUAGAAGUGAAAUUCGUAGAUAUCGGGAGGAACACCAGUGGCGAAGGCGGCGACCUGGGCCAAUACUGACGCUGAGGUGCGAAAGCGUGGGGAGCAAACAGG